AGCGAACGCUGGCGGCAGGCCUAACACAUGCAAGUCGAGCGCCCCGCAAGGGGAGCGGCAGACGGGAGAGUAACACGUGGGAACGUACCCUUUGGUUCGGAACAACCCAGGGAGACUUUGGCUAAUACCGGAUAAGCCCUUACGGGGAAAGAUUCAUCGCCGAAGGAUCGGCCCGCGUCUGAUUAGCUAGUUGGUGUGGUAACGGCCCACCAAGGCGACGAUCAGCAGCUGGUCUGAGAGGAUGAUCAGCCUCACUGGGACUGAGACACGGCCCAGACUCCUGCGGGAGGCAGCAGUGGGGAACAUUGGACAAUGGGCGCAAGCCUGAUCCAGCCAUGCCGCGUGGGUGAUGAAGGCCCUAGGGUUGUAAAGCCCUUUCGGCGGGGAAGAUAAUGACGGUACCCGCAGAAGAAGCCCCGGCUAACAUCGUGCCAGCAGCCGCCGUAA
rnacentral:rRNA from 1 species